rnacentral:misc_RNA from 1 species
CAUAUCAAAAAGAAAAAAAAAAUAAAUGUUUACAAUUUUCAUACUCAUGAAACUUAAAGUGUCUAUUUUUAUAAAUUUAAGAAUUUUUAAUUAAUUAGAUAAGAUUUAAUUAGAGCUAAUCUAAACCCAUUAAGAAACCAAACCCAUUAAUGGGAUAAAAUUUUUAUUAAGAAAUCAACCCCAUUAAAUCUAAUCUAAACCAAACCAGAUGGCAAAGGCCCAUUAGAGCAAAUGAACAUUUUUAUAGAAACCCAGAUGCCCACUUUUGGCCUAAAAGCCAACCAUUAAUGAAGAAAGCAUGGGAAGCUUUAAGAUCCAUACUCGCGUUUGCAUAGCCAGUCACCAGCGUUGCAUCGCCGGUCGCCAGGGCAGCCUCUGUCUAGCUCAAAGACCUCUGCAUUUGUGUAAACUAACAUUAUUAUUAUUUUUUUUAAAGACAAGCGUGUCCGAGCACAGAAACGUGUUUCCAACUUCCCAUAUUUAAGGAAAUGGCCCCGACAAGCCUCCCUCACAUUUCUCACCCUCUCCAUGUUGGAAACAUUUCCGGCAUAAGGAAACAUCACUGGUCGACGUUUCCAUGCAUUAUUGGAAUCAAUUAUUGGACAGCCAUAUUGAAAGCUACAAGACUUAGGAAGACAAAAAUAAGCUAGGAUUUAUGUGUUCCGAGAUAAAAAAAAUGCUUGUAUAGAUCACUGAUGAUUGUACCAGGAUCAAAAAGCUAAAAGAUAAAAGACUAAAUUGAUUGCAGUGCUUCAUGAUGAAUAGAAGUAAUCAUUCAAUAGCACAACCAAAUUAUGGCUAAUUCUUAGAAUUGAAACAAGAUAAAAUCGGCACAAUGCAAGUUAGAACAUUGUAGAAUGCAGUCCUACUAAUCCAACAAUCGAUAAAACAGCAAUUAGAAUUGCUGCAGAGUAUUGUGCCAAGCAAUUGAUAAAUUUGUCAAUACAUAUAUCUCAACCAAUCUUUAGUUUCAGACUUUGUACAGGUUAAACUGUUUGAAACUUCAGUGUUAAUAUUAAAGAAAGAAGCAGAAUAUUAUGAUCAAAUCAAAUCCUACUUCCCUAGUAAUAUGAGUGACAAUAUCUACAAGGCCUAAUGGCAAAAAAAUAAAAUAAAAUAUACAUUUCCGUGUUUUUGCGAUUUAUCCAAUCCUUCAAGUUUUGGCAAUUAUGUCCUUAUUUCAAACAUUUGUUGAUAGAAAACUAUUUGGCUUCAUGCCCAGUCG